CCAGAACACACACCAGUCAGAAUUUUAUGCACUGUGAUAUUUCAGUUCCCUACAAUUCCAUAGCUGGGAGAGCAAACAUUAAGAAGAAAGAUGUCCAGCUUAUCUCCGUAUUUCCUACUCCUGCAUCAGCAUCUGUCUCUGAAACAAUAAAUCAAUAUAUAGCAAGGACAUUUCCAUAUGUUCAGGGAACAAUGUAAAUGAACUGCUUGCAAUUCAGAGAAAGCAGCAGAAAAUGAAUUCUGUCAUUUACUUAUUUGCUUUUAUUAGACUUUACUGAUAACCACUGCAAAUACAUAUUGCUAGAAUUCUUCCGUACUGACUAUCACAUUGCACCAUCAUUCCAUGCCAAGACAAUGCCAUGACUAUGCAGUAGCUCUUGGAAAAUUAUACUAAGGCAUAUGUAGCCUGCCAAAACCAGGCAAAAAACUGGAGAGAUGAAGGAGGGAGAAUCAGAGUUCUCUCCUUCCCUUUCACCACAGCUGGAGUGCUGCCGCUUAUGCUGUCAGGAGUAUGUGUGGUUUAAAGGCAGAAGGCUUUGAGGACUGGAGAGGUUGUGGAUAGAUCCCUUUUGAAAAUUGGUAUUCCAUUGGCUGUCUUCCACUUCUCUGGUCAUGUAUCAAAAUAAAGUUCUACUCCUCUCCUGCAGUAUGUGUGGAGCAUUAACAACACCAGUGAUGCCUUAGUCUGGAUGUUGGCCAUUGCUGAUUUCUGCUGAGCCAGGCUUUAAGAAGAGAGAGUGAGAGAAAGAGCUGAAAAAGAAACAACAUUAAAAUCAAGCAAAUUACCUGCAAUGCACAAUUACAGGCCCUCUACCAGUGGAUGCCAUCCUGUUCUCUUCAACGUCCAGCAUGAGUUGUAGAAGAGGCUGAGCACUGUCUGGAGUUUUGU